rnacentral:rRNA from 1 species
GGGCCCGCACAAGCGGUGGAGCAUGUGGUUUAAUUCGAUGCAACGCGAAGAACCUUACCUACUCUUGACAUCCUGCGAAUUUGGUAGAGAUACCUUAGUGCCUUCGGGAACGCAGAGACAGGUGCUGCAUGGCUGUCGUCAGCUCGUGUUGUGAAAUGUUGGGUUAAGUCCCGUAACGAGCGCAACCCUUGUCCUUAUUUGCCAGCGAGUAAUGUCGGGAACUCUAAGGAGACUGCCGGUGACAAACCGGAGGAAGGUGGGGACGACGUCAAGUCAUCAUGGCCCUUACGGGUAGGGCUACACACGUGCUACAAUGGCCGGUACAAAGGGCAGCAAGUUCGCGAGGACAAGCAAAUCCCAUAAACCGUGGCUCAGUUCAGAUCGUAGGCUGCAACUCGCCUACGUGAAGGCGGAAUCGCUAGUAAUCG